UUUCAAACCGUCUCCUCUGAGGUCUGUGUGUUACGCUGCAAUGAUGAUACCUGUCUGGAUACUUAUAAUUUUUCUCUACAAGACAUGUCCAGUUCAUACUACAAAGCCUUUUAAACGAGCAGUGCAGACUGAACCUGGAAAAAAUAUCACUCAUUACUGCACAUUUAAAGAAAACACUGUUUGCUUUUGGUUCAAGCUUAGUUGGCAACAGGAGCUUCAGCAAGUAGGAAAAGUGUAUAACGAUGAAAUAGGCCUACUUUCAUUUCCAUUCAACAAGUCCAGAUUCAUAAUGAAGUGGAAGGAUGACAGAAUCUCUCUGACUAUUCUAAAUGCUACUGAAGAAGAUGAAGGAUUGUACUUCUGUGGAGUGACAGACGGAACAAAGGUUAACUUCACCUCUGCUUUGUCCACUCUGACAGUGCAUACAGAAUUAACCCCAAUAAAUCCUGACAGUGCAGGAACAGGAUGUGAUCCAUCAAACACAGCUUAUUCAGGCAAGUAUCUUUGUGUCUCUUUGCUUU